rnacentral:rRNA from 1 species
AGUGUAGCGGGAAAUGCGUAGAUAUUAGGAGGAACACCGGUGGCGAAGGCGGCUACUGGACGACUACUGACGUUGAGGCUCGAAAGCGUGGGGAGCAAACAGGAUUAGAUACCUGGUAGUCCACGCUGUAAACGAUGAAUACUAGGUGUGGGUGUGCACUGCACAUCCGUGCCCAGCAAACGCAAUAAGUAUUCCACCUGGGGAGUACGUUCGCAAGAAUGAAACUCAAAGGAUUGACGGGGACCCGCACAAGCGGUGGAGCAUGUGGUUUAAUUCGAAGCAACGCGAAGAACUUACCAGGCCUUGACAUCCCAAGGAAAGCCCCUUAACCGGGGCCCCUCUUCGGAGUCUUGAGACAGGUGGUGCAUGGUUGUCGUCAGCUCGUGUCGUGAGAUGUUGGGUCAAGUCCCGCACGAGCGCAACCCUUGUCCGUAGUAGCCAGCAGUAAGAUGGGAACUCUACGGAGACUGCCGGGAUAACCCGGAGGAAGGUGGGGAUGACGUCAAAUCAUCAUGCCCCUUACGGUCUGGGCGCACACGUGCUACAAUGGCGUAACAGAGGGAAGCGAGCCCGCGAGGGGGAGCAAACCCCAAAAUAGCGUCCCAGUUCGGACUGUAGUCUGCAACCCGACUACACGAAGCCGGAAUCGCUAGAAUCGCGGAUCAGAAUGCCGCGGUGAAUACGUUCCCGGGUCUUGCACUCACCGCCCGUAA